rnacentral:misc_RNA from 1 species
UUGUGGAGGAGGACGCCGAAGGUGGGGCUAAUGACUGGGGUGAAGUCGUAACAAGGUAGCCGUACCGGAAGGUGCGGCUGGAUCACCUCCUAACAGGGAGACAACAAAAUGUAAAUAUUAAUUUUGUCACCUUAGGUCGAUCGGUACCUCAGAUUCUUAAUUUUAAGAAUUUCGGUUUCUAAGUUUUUUCUAGGUCACACCCAUCACUUUUUCCUGGGCCAUUAGCUCAGGUGGUUAGAGCGCACCCCUGAUAAGGGUGAGGUCCCUGGUUCAAGUCCAGGAUGGCCCAUAUCUCUAUGUUGGGGGUAUAGCUCAGUUGGUAGAGCGCCUGCUUUGCAAGCAGGAUGUCAGCGGUUCGAGUCCGCUUACCUCCACUGAAUACCACUUCUUUCAUAUUGUUAAUGAGGAAAACUGUUUUGAGUUGUGUUUUUUAUUCUGAACGAAUCUAGCUUCCUAUUUUAAAAAAUAAGAUGCUGGACUCAUUGAAUUUUAAUUCAUUGUUUUCAGAGAACCUUGACAACUGCAUAGAUUAUUUUGAAGACAAUAAGCAUCUUUAAUGAUGCAGAUUUAUUAUUUUUGCAAAUGCAACAAAUAACAAUUCUAUUAAGCUGAUGCUUCAAUUAUUGAAGUUAUUGGUCAAGCUACAA